AGAGUUGAUCCUGGCUCAGAACGAACGCUGGUGGCGUGUUUAUACAUGCAAGUCGAGCGAGGACGGUAGCAAUACCGAGCCGAGCGGCGAACGGGUGAGUAACGCGUAAGCAAUCUGCCCCACAAUCGGGAACAACUGUGCCAACGCGCGGCUAAUGCCGGAUAUUGUAGUCUACUGCAUAGUAGGCCAACGAAAGAUUUAUUGUUGUGGGAUGAGCUUGCGUCCGAUUAGCUAGUUGGCGGGGUAAUAGCCCACCAAGGCGACGAUCGGUAGCCGGCCUGAGAGGGUGAUCGGCCACAUUGGGACUGAGAUACGGCCCAGACUCCUACGGGAGGCAGCAGUAGGGAAUAUUGCGCAAUGGGGGGAACCCUGACGCAGCAAACCGCCACGUGUGGGAAGAAGCAUUUCGGUGUGUAAAGUUCUUUUAAGAGGGAAGAAUGGCCCGUGGAAAAGCGGGCGUGACGGUACCUUUUGAAUAAGCCCCGGCUAACUAUGUGCCAGCCGCAGC
rnacentral:rRNA from 1 species